GAUGAACGCUAGCGGCAGGCCUAACACAUGCAAGUCGAGGGACCGGCGCACGGGUGAGUAACGCGUAUGGAAUCUGCCUUGUACAGGGGGAUAGCCCAGGGAAACUUGGAUUAAUGCCCCAUAGUACAAGAUGAUCAUGCGUCCCAUUAGCUAGUUGGUGUGGUAACGGCACACCAAGGCUACGAUGGGUAGGGGCCCUGAGAGGGGGAUCCCCCAGAAUGGUACGGCGACACGGACCAGACCCCUACGGGAGGCAGCAGUGAGGAAUAUUGGACAAUGGGGGGGAGCGUGACCCAGCCAUGCCGAGUGCAGGAAGACAGCCUAUGGGUCGUAAACUGCUUUUACAGAGGAAGCGGUACUCUGCGAAUAAGGAUCGGCUAACUCCGUGCCAGCCGCCGCGGUAAUUC
rnacentral:rRNA from 1 species